AGGGUGUUAUCUCAAUGGAAGAGAACCCGCCCUACUAGCAGAAGGUUGGUGGUUCGAUUCCAUCGUGCCCUG
rfam:Picea glauca, whole genome shotgun sequence.